GCUCACGCAGGCCCUGCCCAGGGCGGAAACUGUGUCCCAGAGUUGGGGGCCAGGUAGGGCCGUCGGGAGGACAGCGCCCGCGGCAGCGCCCUUUGAUCCCGCCUCCGAGAGCUUGAUAAUGAGACGCAGUCCUGUUCCCGCAGAGGGGAGAACAAUCGUGUGCAGCCCAGACAAAGGACUCUUUGUGCCGCCCUGGGACCCGUGCCCCGGCUGCUGGGGGAGAGGAAGGAGGUGCCUGGUGGGGAGGGGGCCUGGGCCGGGCGCCCGGGCGUGGCUCCCCCCACCCCCACCCCGCCGGCUGAGCAAAGGGCAUCUGUGCGCCUACUGCCUGCCCCGGGGGCACACCCAGGCCCAGCUAAAGGAGAUCUUUUCAGGGCUAAAGGUGGCUCUCAGAACUGCCGAGAGGGCCCAAACAGAGUCUCGACUCCGCUUGCCGGAAGGACCAGCGCAGAGCAGAGCCCUGUGCAGACCUGUCUCAGCCGAGGCCCGCUGCCCGGGGCUUGGACCCCACCUCCUUGGACCCACCGGCCGGUGUUGGUCUGCGAGGAGCCUCCUCUGUCCGAAGCGGGGCUGGCUUCAGUCUUCACUUCAGAUGCUUUCGUGCUGCUCUGCUUUUAAUUAAACCGGCCGCAGGCAGCUUUGCCCGCUGCCGCCUCU